rnacentral:rRNA from 1 species
AUUGAACGCUGGCGGCAGGCCUAACACAUGCAAGUCGAACGAGUGGCGGACGGGUGAGUAAUGUCUGGGAAACUGCCUGAUGGGGGGGGAUAACUACUGGAAACGGUAGCUAAUACCGCAUACCAUCGGAUGUGCCCAGAUGGGAUUAGCUAGUAGGUGGGGUAACGGCUCACAUAGGCGACGAUCCCUCGCUGGUCUGAGAGGAUGACCAGCCACACUGGAACUGGGACAGGGUCAAGAGUCCUACGGGAGGAAGCAGUGGGGAUGAUUGCACAAGGGGCACAAGCCUGAUGCGGCCAGGCCGCGGGGAUGAAGAAGGCCUUCGGGUUGUAAAGUACUUUCAGCGGGGAGGCGUUACCCGAAGAAGAAGCACCGGCUAACUCCGUGCCAGCAGCCGCGGUAAUAC